ACUUAAAUAGUUUAAAUAAAAUAUUGAUUUGUGGAAUCAAAGAUAUUAAUUUUAAUUUUAGGUA
rnacentral:tRNA from 1 species